rnacentral:rRNA from 1 species
CCUACGGGAGGCAGCAGUGGGGAAUUUUGGACAAUGGGCGCAAGCCUGAUCCAGCCAUGCCGCGUGCGGGAAGAAGGCCUUCGGGUUGUAAACCGCUUUUGUCAGGGAAGAAAAGGUUCUGGUUAAUACCUGGGACUCAUGACGGUACCUGAAGAAUAAGCACCGGCUAACUACGUGCCAGCAGCCGCGGUAAUACGUAGGGUGCAAGCGUUAAUCGGAAUUACUGGGCGUAAAGCGUGCGCAGGCGGUUAUGCAAGACAGAGGUGAAAUCCCCGGGCUCAACCUGGGAACUGCCUUUGUGACUGCAUAGCUAGAGUGCGGCAGAGGGGGAUGGAAUUCCGCGUGUAGCAGUGAAAUGCGUAGAUAUGCGGAGGAACACCGAUGGCGAAGGCAAUCCCCUGGGCCUGCACUGACGCUCAUGCACGAAAGCGUGGGGAGCAAACAGGAUUAGAUACCCUGGUAGUCCACGCCCUAAACGAUGUCAACUGGUUGUUGGGAGGGUUUCUUCUCAGUAACGUAGCUAACGCGUGAAGUUGACCGCCUGGGGAGUACGGCCGCAAGGUUGAAACUCAAAUGAAUUGACGGCUGAGACGUGCGACGACGACGACGAGGGAGGAGG